rnacentral:rRNA from 1 species
AAUCUGGGGUCCCCGACCUCCGAGUUGUAAUUUGGAGAGGCAUCUUCGGGGGGGAGCGCCGGCCCAUGUUCCUUGGGACAGGACGUCACAGAGGGUGAGAAUCCCGUGCCUGGCCGGCUGCCUCCUCCCGGGUGGAGGGCCUUCGACGAGUCGAGUUGUUUGGGAAUGCAGCUCCAAGUGGGUGGUAAAUUUCAUCUAAAGCUAAAUACCGGCGGGAGACCGAUAGCGCACAAGUAGAGUGAUCGAAAGAUGAAAAGCACUUUGAAAAUAGAGUCAAAAAGUACGUGAAAUUGUUGAAAGGGAAGCGCUUGAGACCAGACUCGGGCCUGGGCAAACAUCGCGCCCCUCGGGGCCGUGCAAUUGCCCGGGCCUGGGCCAGCAUCAGUUGGCGUGGCGGGACAAAGGCGCGGGGAAUGUGGCUCCCCUCGGGGAGUGUUAUUAGGCCCGCGCUCAAUGCCGCCGACGCCGACUGAGGACCGCGCCUCGGCUAGGAUGCUGGCUUAAUGGCCUUCAGCGACCCGUCUUGAAACACGGACCAAGGAGUCUAACAUCUAUGCGAGUGUUUGGGCGACAAACCCUUGCGCGGAAUGAAAGUGAGCGGAGGUGGGAACCCCCCCGCGGGGCGCACCAUCGACCGAUCCUGAUGUCUUCGGAUGGAUUUGAGUA